rnacentral:rRNA from 1 species
GCCUACGGGGGGCAGUAGUCGGGAAUAUUGCGCAAUGGAGGAAACUCUGACGCAGUGACGCCGCGUAUAGGAAGAAGGUUUUCGGAUUGUAAACUAUUGUCCACAGGGAAGAUAAAAGACUGUACCUGUGAAGAAAGCUCCGGCUAACUACGUGCCAGCAGCCGCGGUAAUACGUAGGGGGCAAGCGUUAUCCGGAUUUACUGGGUGUAAAGGGAGCGUAGACGGCUGUGCAAGUCUGAAGUGAAAGCCCGUGGCUCAACCGCGGAACUGCUUUGGAAACUGUAUGGCUUGAGUACUGGAGAGGC